rnacentral:rRNA from 1 species
GAUGAACGCUGGCGGCGUGCUUAAUACAUGCAAGUCGAGCGAGCAGAUGUGAAGAGAUUCUCCGGAAGGAUUGUAAAAUGGAAAGCGGUGGACGGGAGAUUAACUCGUAGUCAACCUGCGCCAUACAAAGGGAUAGCAUUCGGAAACGAAUAUUAAUACCUUAUGAAACUUAUCUAGAGCAUGCUAGGUAUGUGAAAGCUUUUUCGGAUUGGGAUGGGCCUGCGUCUGCUUAUCUAGAUGUUGAGGUAACGGCGAACCAAGGCGACGAUCAGACGCCGUGCAGAGGAGGUGAACUGCCAAAUUGGACGUGAGACACGGGCCAAACUCCUUCGGGAGGCAGCGGUAGGGUAUAGUGCACAAUCGGCGUAAGUCAUAUGCAGCAUCGGCGCGUGAACGAUGGAGGCCUUUGGGUCGUAAAGUUCUGUUCUAGGUGGUGAAAACUGACGGUAACCUAGGAGAAAGCCCCGGCUAACUCCGUG